UACGUAGGGGGCUAGCGUUGUCCGGAUUUAUGGGGCGUAAAGCGCGUGUAGGCGGCUUUGCAAGUCGGGUGUGAAAGCCCUCAGCUCAACUGAGGAAGUGCGCCCGAAACUGCAGAGCUUGAGUGCCGGAGAGGGUGGCGGAAUUCCCCAAGUAGAGGUGAAAUUCGUAGAUAUGGGGAGGAACACCGGUGGCGAAGGCGGCCACCUGGACGGUAACUGACGCUGAGACGCGAAAGCGUGGGGAGCAAACAGG
rnacentral:rRNA from 1 species